rnacentral:rRNA from 1 species
CCCCUAGACGUUCUGGGCUGCACGCGCGCUACAAUAAUACGCACAGCGAGUAUCACCGAGCUCGAAAGGGCAAGGUAAACAAUAGAAAAGGUACUGUAAUGGUUAUAGAUCCUUGUAAUUAUUGAUCUUCAACGAGGAAUUCCUAGUAAGUAUGUGUCAUCAUCACGCACUGAUUACGUCCCUGCCCUUUGUACACACCGCCCGUCGCUCCUACCGAUUGAGUGAGCCGAUGAAACUGCCGGAUGUGGACUAUUCAUAGUCUGCAGAAGAUAUUUGAAUCGUAGCGCUUAGAGGAAGGAGAAGUCGCAACA